rnacentral:tRNA from 1 species
UGCAUCGGCCGGGAAUCGAACCCAGGCAGCCCGCGUGGCAGGCGAGCAUUCUACCACUGAACCACCGAUGG